rnacentral:rRNA from 1 species
AGAGUUUGAUCCUGGCUCAGGAUGAACGCUGGCGGCGUGCCUAACACAUGCAAGUCGAACGGAGCUGCUUUGAUGAAGUUUUCGGAUGGAUUUAAAGCAGCUUAGUGGCGGACGGGUGAGUAACGCGUGGGUAACCUGCCUCACACUGGGGGAUAACAGUUAGAAAUAGCUGCUAAUACCGCAUAAGCGCACGGUUCCGCAUGGAACAGUGUGAAAAACUCCGGUGGUGUGAGAUGGACCCGCGUCUGAUUAGCCAGUUGGCGGGGUAACGGCCCACCAAAGCGACGAUCAGUAGCCGGCCUGAGAGGGUGAACGGCCACAUUGGGACUGAGACACGGCCCAAACUCCUACGGGAGGCAGCAGUGGGGAAUAUUGCACAAUGGGGGAAACCCUGAUGCAGCGACGCCGCGUGAGUGAAGAAGUAUUUCGGUAUGUAAAGCUCUAUCAGCAGGGAAGAAAAUGACGGUACCUGACUAAGAAGCCCCGGCUAACUACGUGCCAGCAGCCGCGGUAAUACGUAGGGGGCAAGCGUUAUCCGGAUUUACUGGGUGUAAAGGGAGCGUAGACGGCAAGGCAAGUCUGAAGUGAAAGCCCGGUGCUUAACGCCGGGACUGCUUUGGAAACUGUUUGGCUGGAGUGCCGGAGAGGUAAGCGGAAUUCCUAGUGUAGCGGUGAAAUGCGUAGAUAUUAGGAGGAACACCAGUGGCGAAGGCGGCUUACUGGACGGUAACUGACGUUGAGGCUCGAAAGCGUGGGGAGCAAACAGGAUUAGAUACCCUGGUAGUCCACGCCGUAAACG